rnacentral:rRNA from 1 species
UCGAAAGGUUGGUAGAGGAGCAUUGCAUGCGGAACGAAGCAGUACCGGAAGGAGCUGUGGACUGCAUGGAAGAGAGAAUGCCGGAAUGAGUAGCGAGAUAGAGGUGAGAAUCCUCUAGGCCGAAUAUCCAAGGUUUCCAGAGUAAAGCUGAUCUGCUCUGGGUGAGUCGGGGCCUAAGGCGAGGACGAGAGUCGUAGCCGAUGGACAACAGGUGGAGAUUCCUGUACUGCGGUAUGACAGAACUGUGGGGACACGUAAGGAAAGCGGAAGCCGGGAAUGGAAAGCCCGGUGCAAGCGGGGUACCAGUCACUUUGGCAAAUCCGGGUGGCAAUGGGAAUCCGUGAUGCGGAGCGAAAUAAAGUAGCGAAGUCCGUGAGCCAUGCGUCAAGAAAAGCCGCUAUUGUUUAUACCGUACCCGUACCGUAAACCGACACAGGUGGAUGAGGAGAGAAUCCUAAGGCCGGCGGAAGAAGCAUUGUCAAGGAACUCGGCAAAAUGGCCCCGUAACUUAGGGAUAAGGGGUGCCUCAGAAAUGAGGCCGCAGAGAAUAGGCUCAAGCAACUGUUUAGCAAAAACACAGGUCUAUGCGAAACCGAAAGGUGAGGUAUAUGGGCUGACGCCUGCCCGGUGCUGGAAGGUUAAGAGGAGAGGUUAGCGGUAACGCGAAGCUUUGAAUUUAAGCCCCAGUAAACGGCGGCCGUAACGAUAACGGUCCUAAGGUAGCGAAAUUCCUUGUCGGGUAAGUUCCGACCCGCACGAAAGGCGUAAUGAUUUGAGCGCUGUCUCGACAAUGCAUCCGGUGAAAUUGAAGUACCAGUGAAGAUGCUGGUUACCUGCGCCAGGACGGAAAGACCCCAUGGAGCUUUACUCCAGUCUGGUACUGGGACUCGGUAUUGCAUGUACAGGAUAGGUGGGAGGCUAGGAGAUGGUAACGCCAGUUGCCAUGGAGCCGCUGUUGGGAUACCACCCUUGCAGUAUUGGGUUUCUAACCAGCCGCCGUGACCCGGCGGUGGGACAAUGCCAGACGGGGAGUUUGACUGGGGCGGUCGCCUCCGAAAGGGUAUCGGAGGCGCCCAAAGGUUCCCUCAGAAUGGACGGAAACCAUUCGAAGAGUGCAAAGGCAGAAGGGAGCUUGACUGCGACACCGACGGGUGGAGCAGGUACGAAAGUAGGGCUUAGUGAUCCGGUGGUAUUAAGUGGGAAUGCCAUCGCUCAACGGAUAAAAGCUACCCUGGGAUAACAGGCUUAUCACUCCCAAGAGUUCACAUCGACGGAGUGGUUUGGCACCUCGAUGUCGGCUCAUCGCAUCCUGGGGCUGUAGUAGGUCCCAAGGGUUGGGCUGUUCGCCCAUUAAAGCGGUACGCGAGCUGGGUUCAGAACGUCGUGAGACAGUUCGGUCCCUAUCCGGCGUGGGCGUAGGAUAUCUGAGAGGAGCUGUCCUUAGUACGAGAGGACCGGGAUGGACGGGCCGCUGGUGCAUCGGUUAGACUGCCAAGUCUACGGCCGAGUAGCCAAGCCCGGAAGGGAUAAACGCUGAAGGCAUCUAAGCGUGAAGCCCCCCUUAAGAUGAGAUAUCCCAUUCGAAAGAAGUAAACCCCCUUGAAGACGACGAGGUAGAUAGGGCAGAGGUGGAAGUGCAGCAAUGCAUGGAGCUGACUGUUACUAAUCGGGUGAGGGCUUGAGC